rnacentral:rRNA from 1 species
UACGGAGGGGGCUAGCGUUGUUCGGAAUUACUGGGCGUAAAGCGCGCGUAGGUGGCCUCAUAAGUCCGCUGUGAAAGUCAAAGGCUCAACCUUUGAAAGCCGGUGGAUACUGUGAGGCUAGAGUACGGAAGAGGCGAGUGGAAUUCCCGGUGUAGCGGUGAAAUGCGCAGAUAUCGGGAGGAACACCGGUGGCGAAGGCGGUUCUCUGGGCCUUACCUGACGCUGAGGAGCGAAAGCAUGGGGAGCGAACAGG